rnacentral:rRNA from 1 species
GUAAAAGUCGUAACAAGGUCUCCGUUGGUGAACCAGCGGAGGGAUCAUUACCGAGUUUACAACUCCCAAACCCAAUGUGAACGUUACCAAACUGUUGCCUCGGCGGGAUCUCUGCCCCGGGUGCGUCGCAGCCCCGGACCAAGGCGCCCGCCGGAGGACCAACCAAAACUCUUUUUGUAUACCCCCUCGCGGGUUUUUUUAUAAUCUGAGCCUUCUCGGCGCCUCUCGUAGGCGUUUCGAAAAUGAAUCAAAACUUUCAACAACGGAUCUCUUGGUUCUGGCAUCGAUGAAGAACGCAGCGAAAUGCGAUAAGUAAUGUGAAUUGCAGAAUUCAGUGAAUCAUCGAAUCUUUGAACGCACAUUGCGCCCGCCAGUAUUCUGGCGGGCAUGCCUGUCCGAGCGUCAUUUCAACCCUCGAACCCCUCCGGGGGGUCGGCGUUGGGGAUCGGCCCUGCCUCUUGGCGGUGGCCGUCUCCGAAAUACAGUGGCGGUCUCGCCGCAGCCUCUCCUGCGCAGUAGUUUGCACACUCGCAUCGGGAGCGCGGCGCGUCCACAGCCGUUAAACACCCAACUUCUGAAAUGUUGACCUCGGAUCAGGUAGGAAUACCCGCUGAACUUAAGCAUAUC